UACGUAGGGUGCAAGCGUUGUCCGGAUUUACUGGGUUUAAAGGGUGCGUAGGCGGUCCGAUCAGUCGGUGAUGAAAUGCUCAGGCUUAACCUGCAGCGCUGUUACCGAUACUACCGGACUUGAGAGCGGACGAGGUGGCUGGAAUGAGUGGUGUAGCGGUGAAAUGCGUAGAGAUCACUCAGAACACCAAUUGCGAAGGC
rnacentral:rRNA from 1 species